CGACUUCCUUACCCAGUAUAUCUCUUUCCCCCGGGUUUUAUCAAUGUUUUCCUUUCCCUUUGGGGAUAAAUAAAGUUUGAUGGCGACUCUGUUGUAUGUUCGAGCGUGCGAUACGUUCGGGUAUAUUUCUGCUAGCUUCAGUUGGCGACUCUGCUGGGGAGUUUUCUUGUAGUUAGGGGUCUCUUCUUGAGCAUCCCCAGCUUCAGCUGGCGACUCUGCUGGGGAUACUCUGCUAAUUGGAGUACUUCCUAGUCACUAAAAGGAGUCGAGCCUAGCUUAGGUUGUUUUCUCGCUAGUUUUAGGUGUUUACCUUUACAUGUUACUCACUUUAUUUAUCGCAUUUCUUG
rnacentral:lncRNA from 1 species